rnacentral:rRNA from 1 species
GACGAACGCUGGCGGCGUGCUUAACACAUGCAAGUCGAGCGGUAAGGCCCUUUCGGGGGUACACGAGCGGCGAACGGGUGAGUAACACGUGGGUGACCUGCCCUCAGCUCUGGGAUAAGCCUGGGAAACCGGGUCUAAUACUGGAUAUGACUCCAUGACGCAUGUUGUGGGGUGGAAAGCCUUGUGCGGCUGAGGAUGGGCCCGCGGCCUAUCAGCUUGUUGGUGGGGUGANGGCCUACCAAGGCGACGACGGGUAGCCGGCCUGAGAGGGCGACCGGCCACACUGGGACUGAGACACGGCCCAGACUCCUACGGGAGGCGGCAGUGGGGAAUCUUGCGCAAUGGGCGAAAGCCUGACGCAGCGACGCCGCGUGAGGGAUGACGGCCUGUGUA